ACAUAUCAGCAUCUAAGAUUAGAUUUUCCUUUCCCAUACCCCUAUGUCUACUACUUCAGAAGACUCCUGCAAUGGCAUGAACGGAUCUUGGAGCUUCUGGAAGAGUCCCAGAAGGGAUUGCAAGAGUUUAUAAGGGAUGCUUUCUGGACACCAGGUAAAAAGAUAAUAAAAAAUCAUCCAUCUCUGAGGCAUCCCUUUAUCCCACCAAUUCGCAUCAAAGACCCUUGAACUGAAAGACCUCUGGACAGCUAUAAAGAAUGAAUUAUUUCUUGACACUCCCUUGAGAUUUUAUGGAUCUCUCAAACCAUCCUAAGAACGUCUGUACCUGCACAACCUUCAAAGGACUUUGAAAGACCUCAUCUAGGGUGGGGAAAUGCAUUGUUUCCUGAUUCUGUUGUCUUUACUGUCACCCUACAACUCACUCCUGGACAUUUUUAUGCUCAAGAACUACUGGCCUGCUAAAAUGACUUAAACUUUAUUGGGGCAUUUGCAAGCCUGACCCCUUCAAGCAAUCGCUGUCUGCCUAAAAGACUGAAUACUUGGUUAAGAACUUUUUAAACAAUCUCAAUGACUAAUGCAUUCUUUGUGAGGACUUCAGAAACACUCCAAAGGCACCUUUAUUAUUAUUUAUUUAUUAUAAGACUGCUUAAGCACUUCAGAUGAUUUGCAAUGCAUGCAGAUUUCCAAGACUCUAUUUGGAUCCUCUGAAGUUCUGACACAUCCUGCAUUUCCCAGGUUUGUUCACUAAAUUUAGCUUGCUGGCUGGCUGCAUCUGUGGCUAGUGACAAUACUGCAGAGAGGCCUCGUGGGACAAUUCAAAGAGCCAUUCAGCAGCCCGUUGAGCUUUGCAAGGGAUCGCAGUGACAGAGCGUGCGGCAGUGACGCCUCGGGGUCUUUUCCCAGCCUCCUCGCCCGG